UCUAGUUAGCAUUAUACCGUGAAACUGCGAAUGGCUCAUUAAAUCAGUUAUCGUUUAUUUGAUAAUACCUUACUACUUGGAUAACCGUGGUAAUUCUAGAGCUAAUACAUGCUGAAAAUCCCGACUUCGGAAGGGAUGUGUUUAUUAGAUAAAAAACCAAUGCCCUUCGGGGCUUUUUGGUGAUUCAUGAUAACUUUACGGAUCGCAUAGCCUUGCGCUGGCGACGGUUCAUUCAAAUUUCUGCCCUAUCAACUUUCGAUGGUAAGGUAUUGGCUUACCAUGGUUUCAACGGGUAACGGGGAAUUAGGGUUCGAUUCCGGAGAGGGAGCCUGAGAAACGGCUACCACAUCCAAGGAAGGCAGCAGGCGCGCAAAUUACCCAAUCCCGACACGGGGAGGUAGUGACAAUAAAUACUGAUACAGGGCUCUUUUGGGUCUUGUAAUUGGAAUGAGUACAAUUUAAACCUCUUAACGAGGAACAAUUGGAGGGCAAGUCUGGUGCCAGCAGCCGCGGUAAUUCCAGCUCCAAUAGCGUAUAUUAAAGUUGUUGCAGUUAAAAAGCUCGUAGUUGAAACUUGGGCCUGGCUGGCGGGUCCGCCUCACCGCGUGCACUCGUCCGGCCGGGCCUUCCUUCUGAAGAACCUCAUGCCCUUCACUGGGCGUGCUGGGGAAUCAGGACUUUUACUUUGAAAAAAUUAGAGUGUUCAAAG
rnacentral:rRNA from 1 species